AUUGAACGCUGGCGGCAUGCUUUACACAUGCAAGUCGAACGGUAACAGGCCGCAAGGUGCUGACGAGUGGCGAACGGGUGAGUAAUGCAUCGGAACGUGCCCAGUCGUGGGGGAUAACGCAGCGAAAGCUGCGCUAAUACCGCAUACGAUCUGUGGAUGAAAGCGGGGGACCGUAAGGCCUCGCGCGAUUGGAGCGGCCGAUGUCAGAUUAGGUAGUUGGUGGGGUAAAGGCUCACCAAGCCAACGAUCUGUAGCUGGUCUGAGAGGACGACCAGCCACACUGGGACUGAGACACGGCCCAGACUCCUACGGGAGGCAGCAGUGGGGAAUUUUGGACAAUGGGCGCAAGCCUGAUCCAGCCAUGCCGCGUGUCUGAAGAAGGCCUUCGGGUUGUAAAGGACUUUUGUCCGGGAGCAAAUGCUGGUGGCUAACAUCCACCGGAGCUGAGAGUACCGGAAGAAUAAGCACCGGCUAACUACGUGCCAGCCGCCGCCGUAACAC
rnacentral:rRNA from 1 species